ACAUGCAAGUCGAGGGGCAGCGAGGGAGUGGCAACACUUCUGUCGGCGACCGGCGCACGGGUGAGUAACGCGUGGGUAACCUGCCUUGUACUGGGGGAUAACCGGGAGAAAUUCCGACUAAUACCGCAUACGUCCUCCGGGGGCAUCCCCGGGGGAUGAAAGAAUUAUCGGUGAAGGAUGGGCAUGCGUGAUAUUAGGUAGUUGGCGGGGCAACGGCCAACCAAGCCCACGAUAUCUAGGGGUUCUGAGAGGAAGGUCCCCACAUUGGAACUGAGACACGGCCCAAACUCC
rnacentral:rRNA from 1 species